rnacentral:rRNA from 1 species
GGUCAAGUUAGUAAGGGUCCACGGUGGAUGCCUUGGGGCCAGGAGCCGAAGAAGGGCGUGGCAAGACUGCGAAAAGCCCCGGUCAGCUGUCUAGCGAGCUUAGCCGGGGAUGCCCGAAUGGGGAAACCCCCCUUGGGUCAAUCCAAGGGACCCCGAUUUAUCGGGGGGGUAAGCGGGUGAACUGAAACAUCUAAGUAACCCGAGGAAAAUAAAUCAACCGAGAUUCCCAAAGUAGUGGCGAACGAAAUGGGAAUAGCCCAAACCUUCCGGGCUUAGUGGGCUGAGGCCCUAUGUCCGGAGGGGGUUGUAACACACACCUGUUCCAGCCUCAGGAGGAGCAAGGAGUAAGAAACUCGUUCCUUAGCCGAACGAUCCUGGAAAGGACGACCGGAGAAGGUGAUAGUCCUGUAAGCGAAAGGGAACGAGCUCCUGGUGUGCUGUUGAGUACCACGGGACACGUGAAAUCUUGUGGGAAGCUGGGGAGACCACUCUCCAAGGCUAAAUACUCCUGGCCACCGAUAGUGAACCAGUACCGUGAGGGAAAGGUGAAAAGUACCCCAGAUGGGGAGUGAAAUAGACCUGAAACCGUGGACUUACAAGCCGUGGGAGUCCUUCCUUGGAAGGAUGACUGCGUGCCUUUUGAAGAAUGAGCCGGCGAGUUAAUCUAGGCAGCUUGGUUAAGGAGCAUGAGUUCCGGAGCCGAAGCGAAAGCGAGUCCGAAUAGGGCGUGCCGCGGGCGGCGGCAAAUCCUGCGGAGGAAGACCGAGAUGACGCAAACCUUGUGCCAGAGUGCCUUCGGGCGCUUGAAGCACGUUCAGGUGCGCUGACUUUCGGGAAGAAUCCAAAGGUCGAGCCGCCACUAUGCCUGCAGUGUUGUCUGGAUUAGACCCGAAACCGGGUGAGCUACCCAUGGCCAGGCUGAAACCCCGAUAAUAUCGGGGCGAAGGGCCGAACCCGUGUCUGGUACAAAAGGCUGGGAUGAGCUGUGGGUAGAGGUGAAAUGCCAAUCGAACUCGGAGAUAGCUGGUUCUCCCCGAAAUGUAUUUAGGUACAGCCUCAAGGUAGUCUGGGGGAGGUAGGGCACUGGAUGGGCUAGGGGGCGUGAGCCUGCCAAACCCAACCAAACCACGAAUGCCCCUAGAUGUUCCUUGGGAGUGAGACAGUGGGGGAUAAGCUCCAUUGUCGAGAGGGAAACAGCCCAGACCGCAGGCUAAGGUCCCCAAGUGUGAACUAAGUGUGAAAGGAAGUGGGAUUCCUAAAACAGCUAGGAGGUUGGCUUAGAAGCAGCCACCCUUUAAAGAGUGCGUAAC